rnacentral:piRNA from 1 species
GGGAAUCCAGACCCCUACGACUGAGAG